rnacentral:rRNA from 1 species
CAGCAGCCGCGGUAAUACGUAGGUGGCAAGCGUUGUCCGGAAUUAUUGGGCGUAAAGGGCUCGCAGGCGGUUUCUUAAGUCUGAUGUGAAAGCCCCCGGCUCAACCGGGGAGGGUCAUUGGAAACUGGGGAACUUGAGUGCAGAAGAGGAGAGUGGAAUUCCACGUGUAGCGGUGAAAUGCGUAGAGAUGUGGAGGAACACCAGUGGCGAAGGCGACUCUCUGGUCUGUAACUGACGCUGAGGAGCGAAAGCGUGGGGAGCGAACAGGAUUAGAUACCCUGGUAGUCCACGCCGUAAACGAUGAGUGCUAAGUGUUAGGGGGUUUCCGCCCCUUAGUGCUGCAGCUAACGCAUUAAGCACUCCGCCUGGGGAGUACGGUCGCAAGACUGAAACUUAAAGGAAUUGGCGGG